UUUUAACUAAAUUACAGGCUAAUUAAAAACGGGCAAAUACAUUAAAACUUUUAUAAAACGAUCACAAGCUGAAAGUCGUUAGUACGUGUGAAAGUUACUAAGGAAAAGUACGCUAAAAACUCGACUCAAAGAUUACAAUCACAAAACGAGAAACAAAUUAAAACCGAAUAUACAGUAAAAGACAGAUUCAAAACACGUUAAACAGUACAACGAGGAAAAACAAACAAGUUAACAUUAUAUCCUGAAGAAAAAGGUCCAGAGGACCUUUUUCUUUUCGUUUAUAACCUCAAUCUCAGGAGCAUCCUCGACGGGUCGCGGUUUAAGACGAAACCGAAUCCGCUUUCCGAGGACAGAAAACUGAAUGCCGCUGGUGGACAUAACCCCUAAAAGGUCCGCCAUCUCACAUCAUCACCAUCGAGUUGAUUCUAGCACCAUUCGGGACGCCGAAUUGGGUGUGAAUCUUCUGGUGUAGCUGCCAGUCGGAGGAUCCAGUUUCCCGAACCAGAAUGUUUACAACUCAAACCUAACCAUAAAACCGCAAGUAUGGACCGAAUUGUGACGUCAAGUUUAGGCUCUGUGCAGCCAAUAAAUGUACCACUAAAAG